rnacentral:rRNA from 1 species
UACGUAGGUGGCAAGCGUUGUCCGGAUUUAUUGGGUUUAAAGGGUGCGUAGGCGGUCUAUUAAGUCAGUGCUGAAAUAUCCCGGCUUAACCGGGAGGGUGGCAUUGAUACUGAUGGACUUGAGUAAAGUUGAGGUAGGCGGAAUUGACGGUGUAGCGGUGAAAUGCUUAGAUAUCGUCAAGAACACCGAUAGUGUAGACAGCUUACUAAGCUUUAACUGACGCUGAGGCACGAAAGUGUGGGGAGCAAACAGG